ACUUUAUUUAGUUUUUUGACAUGCCAUGUCGGGAAGGAUUUCAAUCUUUUUCAGUUCACAGUUCCAUGAGUUUAUCCUCGUAUGCAGUGUAAUGUGUUAGUUAUCUUCUUGAAAUGGACCAAGUAGUUUUCUGUACUACACCCCUCACUGUUUAUUCUCCGUUUAUUUGCUGAAAUAUCCUUUAUUUUUUACCUUCUCAAAUCCCUGCUUUUUACUGAAUGUGUUGGGAGCAACUGCAAAUCAAAAUAACACUGCAAUUAGAAAGUUUCAGCCUUAUCAUCUACGCAUGCUUCCUUUCUAAUAGUUUGUAUGCGUAGGAUCAAACGUUUAAUGUUGUCAUUGCUAUGCAUCUGGUCUUACUUGGCAGGGUUUUUAAUGCUCACACACACACACACACUCGGUCCCACACUUUGUCAGGUUUAAUACUUCCAAGCAGUUGUCACUACUGUAGUUUGAUAUUUGAUGGCUGGUUGCUACACAAACAUGCAUGCAUACAAACGUUUGUGUAUUUUAUGAGCUUCUUGCUUAUUAUGUGUGAUCGUAGCCUUUCUUUUCUUAAUUGUGUUUUAAAGGCUUGCCAUGAUCUCUUGGAAAGGAAUACACCAAAAGUAAGAGCAAGGCUUGCUGGAAAAUUGUCAGCUAUUCGAGAACAUCGCCCAGCUAGUACUACGUCUGGCUGAUAAUUCAUUUGUCGAUUUUGUUCUAUAUUUUUCGACUUAUAAAAUAAAUGGAGACCAUUAACUUCAGUGCUAGCAACUGAUAUCAACAUAAGGUUAGCAUGCAUAGCUGGACAAACAAAGGGAUUUUGUGAGCAACUCAAGCAUCAGAAACCAGAACUUCAGACUACGAGGCUUCAUCUUGAUUUGACUUUGUAGUUUUAAUGCGAAUUGCAAGAAAACAAAGUCCUUCUGGUGCAGAGGUGAUAGAGUGCUUUUUAAAAGCAACAAGCAAAUUAAGGUCGACUGCAGUUGGGUCAUGUGGUUAAGGGUUAGAGAAUUUGUUGUUCCUUUUUGAGUUAGAAGCAAGAAACAAAACAAAAAUAAAACAAGGAGCAUGACUCCAAAGCAGUUGUUCCCGUGUUGCCGAAGAUGCAAGAAAGCCUUUACGAAUGUCGAAUAUUCUAUGCUUCAAUACAGAAUAAAAUCAAAAGAAACUGUUCUUGCA